UCCCUCCGCCCGCCCCCUCGGCAUCCCGGCCGCUGGGAGCGGCGGCGCGCAUGCGCAGCCCUCGGGCCGGCCCGGGCGCACCUUUUCUGUCUCCUGCCACAUUGUGAGCGCUCCGCCGCCCAGAUAACCGCCGGCUCCCCGCGCCGCCCCCGCCUUCUCCCACUCCGCCCACUCCCGGGAGCCCAGGGGAUGAUGCAGCAAGAAGACCCACACCAGAUGAGGGCACCUUGAUAUUGGAUUUCCCAGCCUCCAGAACUACGGAGUCUUGCUCUGUCACUCAGGCUGGAGUACAGUGACACAAUCACCGUUCACUGCAGCCUCGACCUCCCAGGCUCAAGUGAUCCUCCUGCUGCAGCCUCCUGAGUAGCUGGGACUACAGGCCUGUGCUACCGUGUCCAGGUCUGGUCCACUGCUAAGAGAUCCAUAUCUACUCCUUGGGAGUUCUCCAGAGGAAAAAAUCAACAGGAGGGAGAAAGAUACUCUGCUAGCUUCGGAUUCAUUAGUACUAGGAAAUGGAGAGAUAGGAGGUAUAAUGUAUUAGGGAAGCAAGGGAUUCAGAACCAGGUGCCCACUGACUCUGAGAAGCACUGGGUGCACAGAGGGUAGCAGACAAGCAAGAGGGUGGAAUUUGCAGCAUCUCAUCUUGGUGAGACAGUUGGAAGACUUUUCUGCCAAUUAUAGUGGUUAAACACUGACUCAACAUCAAACAACGGCAUGAGAAGUCAGAGCCUUCAUUCGUGGACAAGUUUCAAAAACACGGGAGCACCACCUGUCAUAAGCAAUUUAGUCAGAACAGAAGAGAAUAGAUCACACCCAACAAGACAGAAAAAGCUGCUUUCUGGAGAGGGUGGGAGCUAAUAUUUCCUAACACGGUGAAAUUGUGAAGUGCUUUUUGCAGCCCUUCAUAAUUUCAUCAUCCAAAAGGUUUGCUUUUGGAAUUCUUAGACACUUAAUUCUGUCCCUGCUUCCCGUGUCACUUCCACAGGACACUGAAUUUGGGAAGAGGGAGACCUCACCAAUGAUGGGAAGAACAGACUAGGGACUGACGCCCUUUUGGGUUUGCCAUGUGAACAUCCUCCUGGAACAGUCUCCAUUCUGUCCCAGCAAGACACACUCUGCUCUGUGAAGAACCCAGGCAGGAAAAAAAAAAAAAAAAUCUAUGAGGCCACAGUGGAAAUGCAGCUCAGCAGGACUCUCAGGGACCCCAAAAUUGUCCCAUCUGACAACUCACCACAUUUUAUUUAUUUAUUUAUUUAUUUAUUUAUUUAUUUUGAGAUGGAGUCUCACUGUGUCACCCAGGCUGGAGUGUAGUGGCGUGAUCUAGGCUCACCGCAGCCUCUGCCUCCCAGAUUCAAGCGAUGCUCCUGCCUCAGCCUGCCAUGUAGCUGAGACUACAGGCAUGUGCCACCACGCCCAGCUAACUUUUGUAUUUUUAGUAGAGAUGGGGUUUCGCCAUGUUGCCCAGGCUGGUCUCAAACUUCUGACCCUGAGGUGAUCCACCCCCACCCCUCGGCCUCCCAAAGUUCUGGGAUUACAGUCAUGAGCCACUGCACCCGGCCAACACAUUCUAUUUUCAUCAUUGUGCCUGUCCUCCCUGCUAGCUCAUGGGCUCCUCCAGAGCAGGCAUGUUUGCCCUAGUCACCAUCAAAACUGUCUUAGUACCUGUCACGGUGCCUGGCACAUAGCAGUUAUUCAGUAAAUGUUUGUUGAAUAAAUCAACUAUAAACAUCAAAAUGAUUCCCUUAAAAAGGUCUUCAUUCUUGUUCAGAUGCAGAGUUACAUUACAAACACUUGUGUGCUGGGGAUAGGAAGGGACACUGUUGGGUAAUAAUAAGUGCUUGAAACAUGUGGGACGGCCCUGGAAAAUAGCCCAAAAAGUUCACAUUGUAUCUGAUAAGCAACAGGGAGCCACUGCAGGUUCUUCAGGUCACCAGUAGGCAAGCAGGUGGUGGCUUUCCAGGCUGAAAGGUGUAUUUGAUCUGGAAGAUAGUAGGAUCACAGACAAACAGUGAGUCUUGGAGUAGCCUGAUCACAGUGGCAAGCUCAGGAGACAAUUUUAUGGCUGAGGGCUGAAUGUUUCAGCUGGGUGGGUGUCAAGAAACCAGCAAGACGCCAGGCGUGGUGGCUCAUGCCUGUAAU